UACGUAGGGUGCGAGCGUUGUCCGGAAUUAUUGGGCGUAAAGAGCUCGUAGGCGGUCUGUCGCGUCGGUCGUGAAAACUUGGGGCUUAACCCUGAGCUUGCGGUCGAUACGGGCAUGACUGGAGUUCGGCAGGGGAGAUUGGAAUUCCUGGUGUAGCGGUGAAAUGCGCAGAUAUCAGGAGGAACACCGGUGGCGAAGGCGGGUCUCUGGGCCGAUACUGACGCUGAGGAGCGAAAGCGUGGGGAGCGAACAGG
rnacentral:rRNA from 1 species